rnacentral:lncRNA from 1 species
AGUGGGGUCUGGGAAACGAGCAAAACCAGAGGUUCAACCAGGCUCCAGGGGAAACGCCUGCAGUCCUCCCUAAAUGUCCUUCCUAAGUUUGUGUCUCCCGUCAGUUUGCCAUCUGAGCUGGCACCCUCAGAGAACUCGACCCCCCAUCCCCAAACUGGACCAAAAGGUCAGCUCUCCACUUGGCCUUUCCAGAGGCCACAGCCCAACCUUAAGGGUGAGAAAGCCACACCGAGCGUGUCCACGCACUUCUAAGCUCCCUUCUAAGCUCCGGUGCAGUCUCCCUUCUGAUCCCCGAGCCGGUUUUUGGCAGAGAUGGGUCGGGCUGGGGACUCUUUGGCCUGGCAUCCCCGCAGCCAACUGGCUCAGCCUUCGAAGAGGCCCGGGCUGAACCUCACGUCACCCCUGCUUUGCAAAGCAGCAGGGCCAAGUGCUCUGGCAGGAGAAAGGCCUUUUUUGGUAACGCUGAGCCUGGCGGUUAAGCAGGACCCGGUCAAAACAAACGUCUGGGCUGGGCCCUCCUCCGGCCUCUCCAAGGGCCCCCAUCCCCGCGAGCCAGGAACCACCCCCACCCACCGACCCCCGGGCUCUAGGGGUGGGAGAAUCGAUCUGCGAUCCGCAAGGGCUUUUGGAAAGGCUGGAUCUGAACAACGCUGCCUGCAUGACCUCCAUUUUCCACCCGAAAACGAAGCUUCGAAGCACCCAACCGAAACCCACCCCUACACGCCCCCGGUACUCAGGCUGCGCACCAUUCUGAAGCUGCUUUUAUUUUUAUUUUCAUUAAUGUACUUUUAAGGGUGAAAAGCACGCGUGUGCGCGCGCACACACACACACACACACACACCCGCUCACACCCAGUGGUUAUGGCAGGUACAGCGGAGACGGGGUGUCCCGACUGUCAGUGUCUGAUCCCGACCUGCCUCGUUCCCCGCACCCCCUGCCCUUAUUAAUAGAAACCCGGUCGUAGGCAGCCUGCGUUCUGGUUUUCAUUGUACAGCCUGCACUGGUGACACAGGACAUGUGGAAAAUUUUGAGAGCACUGCGGUGAAUGGCGUGG